rnacentral:lncRNA from 1 species
AUCCUUGUUCUUCGUUGCACAAUUAGCUGUGAAACAGACAGAAGUUACCUACAAUAAUGCAUGUCAUUUUGAACUAGCCAUAUUUCAAGGGCUCAGUAUGGCUAAUGGCCACCAUAUUGGACAUCGACGGUCAAACCCAUUUUACAUUCCCCUGACAACUACGAUUGGUGUGAGGCCUAUGAUGGCCCAACUAGGCUGACAGCAAAGAUCUUUCCUGUUGGCAAAGAUCAUCUUUCUCUCUCCUGCUGGCAAGAACAAGAAAGAAUAAAGGUCUGAUCAAUCCAUGAGCUUUCUUGGGAUUUAUGAGGAGAACCAGACUUUGGAUGAAACUGACAUUGAAAUGAGCAGGAUGGAGAGAAAAAUCCUUGGGGUUUGGUGACAAUACUGGGCUGCUGAUUAAACUUGGAGUUUGCCCUGACUCUGAACUUUCUAUUUAGUGAGAUAAUAAUUGUCUCAAUUGUUUAAGCUAGCUUGUGUUGCUUCCAGCUAAAAGAGUGCCAGCUAUAUACAAUGUGCAAGCUGACAUGUUGUCAUGCUCUGACACUGAUGAACACACCCCCACAAGGCUGUGAAGUAGUAGGGGAAGAACUAACCUGCAUGGAGUUGGAAGGGGGGGAAAAACAAAAUCAAACCAUAUGGAAAGCAGUUGAAUUCACUGCAUUAAAUAUACUUUUUAAAAUGUACAACAUAAUAGCCAUAUGUUUAAGUCAGAAUCAUCUGCAAAGCACGCAUGUUCACUUUCUGUUCCAGAGUCAGGCGUCUGAAUUCUGUGAGCAAAGCCUAGAGAGAAAAACUAAGCCUAUGCCAGA